rnacentral:rRNA from 1 species
UACGGAGGAUGCGAGCGUUAUCCGGAUUUAUUGGGUUUAAAGGGUGCGUAGGCGGACGCUUAAGUCAGCGGUAAAAUUGCGGGGCUCAACCACGUCGAGCCGUUGAAACUGGGUGCCUUGAGUGGGCGAGAAGUACGCGGAAUGCGUGGUGUAGCGGUGAAAUGCAUAGAUAUCACGCAGAACUCCGAUUGCGAAGGCAGCGUACCGGCGCCCAACUGACGCUGAAGCACGAAGGCGUGGGUAUCGAACAGG